AUGGCAGCUCGGCGUAGUGGUGCGGUGGUGGCAGCGUUGAUGGUGGUGGCGGCGGCGCUGGUCGGGCUCGCUGGCGCCGACUUCGCGGCGGACAGGGCGGAGUGCGCGGACAAGCUGAUGGGGCUGGCGACGUGCCUGACGUACGUGCAGCUGGCGGCGACGGCGCGGUCGCCCACGCCGGACUGCUGCUCCGGGUUCCGGCAGGUGCUGGCCGCAAGCAAGAAGUGCCUGUGCGUGCUGGUCAAGGACCGCGACGAGCCCACCCUGGGGAUCAAGUUCAACGUCACCCGCGCCAUGAACCUCCCCUCCGCCUGCAACAUCCCCGCCACCUUCUCCGACUGCCCCAAGAUCCUCAACAUGUCGCCGGACUCCAAGGAGGCCGAGAUCUUCAAGCAGUACGGGAUCGAGCACGAGGGCAAGAACGCCACCGCCGGCGGCGCCGCCACCGGUACCUCCGGCGCGAAGAGCGCCGACGCGGCGGCCGGUGCAGGGAGGCACGCGGUGGUCUUCGCCGUCGUCGUCUCGGCGCUGCUCGCCUCCCUCUUUGUUCUCGCGUGA
rnacentral:rRNA from 1 species